AAUGCAUUAUGAGGGCAUUCUCUAGGCUUUUUCUUAAAUCUUUCCCAACUCUCAUAAAUGGAUUGUCCUUCAAACUAAGUAAAAUAAGUUGUGCCAUUUCUAAGUUU